UACGGAGGGUGCAAGCGUUGCUCGGAAUUAUUGGGCGUAAAGGGUAGGUAGGUGGUCUCAUUUGUCUGGGGUGAAAGCCUUGAGCUUAACUCAAGAAGUGCCCCAGAAACGGUGAGACUAGAGUCUUGGAGAGGGUCGUGGAAUUCCCGGUGUAGCGGUGAGAUGCGUAGAGAUCGGGAGGAACACCAGAGGCGAAGGCGGCGACCUGGACAAGUACUGACACUCAACUACGAAAGCGUGGGGAGCAAACAGG
rnacentral:rRNA from 1 species